UACGUAGGGGGCAAGUGUUGUCCGGAAUCAUUGGGCGUAAAGCGCGUGUAGGCGGCUCGGUAAGUCCGCUCUGAAAGUCCAGGGCUCAACCCUGGGAUGCGGGUGGAUACUGCCGAGCUCGAGUCCGGAAGAGGCGAGUGGAAUUCCUGGUGUAGCGGUGAAAUGCGCAGAUAUCAGGAGGAACACCAAUGGCGAAGGCAGCUCGCUGGGACGUGACUGACGCUGAGACGCGGAAGCGUGGGGAGCAAACAGG
rnacentral:rRNA from 1 species